rnacentral:rRNA from 1 species
GAAACCAACAGGGAUUGCCUUAGUAACGGCGAGUGAAGCGGCAACAGCUCAAAUUUGAAAUCUGGCCUUCGGGUCCGAAUUGUAAUUUGUAGAGGAUGCUUUGGGUGCGGUGCCUUCCGAGUUCCUUGGAACAGGACGCCUUAGAGGGUGAGAGCCCCGUACGGUUGGACACCAAGCCUGUGUAAAGCUCCUUCGACGAGUCGAGUAGUUUGGGAAUGCUGCUCUAAAUGGGAGGUAAAUUUCUUCUAAAGCUAAAUACCGGCCAGAGACCGAUAGCGCACAAGUAGAGUGAUCGAAAGAUGAAAAGUACUUUGAAAAGAGGGUUAAAUAGCACGUGAAAUUGUUGAAAGGGAAGCGUUUAUGACCAGACCUUGGCUAGGCGGAUCAUCCGGUGUUCUUCACCGGUGCACUUCGCCUAGCUUAGGCCAGCAUCGAUUCUCGCAGGGGGAUAAAGACCGUGGGAAAGUAGCUCUCUUCGGGGAGUGUUAUAGCCCUAGGUGUAAUACCUCUGCGGGGAUCGAGGUUCGCGCUUCGGCAUGGAUGCUGGCGUAAUGGUCAUCAACGACCCGUCUUGAAACACGGACCAAGGAGUCGAACAUUUAUGCGAGUGUUUGGGUGUCAAACCCUCACGCGUAAUGAAAGUGAACGGAGGUGAGAGCCCUUAAGGGUGCAUCAUCGACCGAUCCUGAUGUCUUCGGAUGGAUUUGAGUAAGAGCAUAACUGUUCGGACCCGAAAGAUGGUGAACUAUGCGUGGAUAGGGUGAAGCCAGAGGAAACUCUGGUGGAGGCUCGCAGCGGUUCUGACGUGCAAAUCGAUCGUCAAAUCUGCGCAUGGGGGCGAAAGACUAU